AGUGAACGCUGGCGGUAGGCCUAACACAUGCAAGUCGAACGGCAGCACAGGAGAGCUUGCUCUCUGGGUGGCGAGUGGCGGACGGGUGAGGAAUACAUCGGAAUCUACUCUGUCGUGGGGGAUAACGUAGGGAAACUUACGCUAAUGCCGCAUACGACCUACGGGUGAAAGCAGGGGAUCUUCGGACCUUGCGCGAUUGAAUGAGCCGAUGUCGGAUUAGCUAGUUGGCGGGGUAAAGGCCCACCAAGGCGACGAUCCGUAGCUGGUCUGAGAGGAUGAUCAGCCACACUGGAACUGAGACACGGUCCAGACUCCUACGGGAGGCAGCAGUGGGGAAUAUUGGACAAUGGGCGCAAGCCUGAUCCAGCCAUACCGCGUGGGUGAAGAAGGCCUUCGGGUUGUAAAGCCCUUUUGUUGGGAAAGAAAUCCAGCUGGCUAAUACCCGGUUGGGAUGACGGUACCCAAAGAAUAAGCACCGGCUAACUUUGUGCCAGCCGCCGCCGUAA
rnacentral:rRNA from 1 species